UGGUACUGGCAUCUGCAAACACUGCUG
rnacentral:piRNA from 1 species